AUUGAACGCUGGCGGCAGGCCUAACACAUGCAAGUCGAGCGAGCGGCGGACGGGUGAGUAAUGUCUGGGAAACUGCCUGAUGGAGGGGGAUAACUACUGGAAACGGUAGCUAAUACCGCAUACCAUCAGAUGUGCCCAGAUGGGAUUAGCUGGUAGGUGGGGUAACGGCUCACCUAGGCGGCGAUCCCUAGCUGUGCUGAGAGGAUGACCAGCCACACUGGAACUGAGACACGGUCCAGACUCCUACGGGAGGCAGCAGUGGGGAAUAUUGCACAAUGGGCGCAAGUCUGAUAGAGCAAUGCCGCGUGUGUGAAGAAGGCUUUCGGGUUGUAAAGCACUUUUAGCGGGGAGGCGUUAACCGAAGAAGAAGCACCGGCUAACUCCGUGCCAGCAGCCGCGGUAAUAC
rnacentral:rRNA from 1 species